UUUCAAUUAAAUGAUUAAUGUUUAAUGCAUUUGCAAAUAUGCAUAUAGGUGUAAUCGAAUGGUGGUUGAUAGUAUAUUUCCCUUUUUUAAAUACUUUCUUUCAAGUAGUCGUCAUGUGGACCCCUCAAGAGCCAACUUUAGUUAUAUGGUUUGGGAAAGUUUUCCAUGUUGAGUUACAGCUUGGAGUUGAAGAACUGUCCUAAUCUAGAAAUUUCAAGAUUACUUUUAAGUUAGUUCCUAAGUCGGUCUAGUUAGCAAGUUAUCUUCGUUAAGAGUACCUAAUUAGUUAGUAUCAUUAGACAAAUAGUGUUUUAGUUCAUUCCCAAUUGGGAAUAGUUGGUUUUAGGAAAGUUUUAGCUGUUGAGUGAGUUUUACAGCCAACUUGAUAUAGGUUUUUUGUUAAACUAAAGAGAAAACGAAAGAGAAACAUGUACCCCAUCUUAUAUAAAGUCAAAAUCAACAGCCUGAUAAUUCUCAAUCUGCAAAUCAGCUUAAACAAAAUACUUUAAAAAAAUAAAAAUAAAUAAAGAAAGAAAGAAAAAGCAUGGAGUUAGACUUGUCUGAACAAAUUCCCUUAGCAAGUAAGAGAAAAUACACAAUAGAUGUAUAGAUGCAAUUCUCAUAUCUUAUAGGAAUACUUAGUGCCGGAAACAACCAAUGUUUAUUUUAUAGUCCAAAUUCAACCUUGACCUUCCUUAUCCUUUAUGGGAAUCCUAGCUCUGGUAAGAUUCCUGAUUUCACCAAGAACUGGAUACAACUCAACAGAUUGUAAGAACUUUAUUUGAUUUGUUUUCAACAUAAAAUGCUUCUAUAUGAGAAGAUCUACAUGAACUAUCAUUUUGAACCACUACAGGCUUAUGCAAGGCAUGUGUAUGAUGGGACACAUUCCUUCUAACAUCGCUCUCUUAGAGGAUAUCUGAUUUGAAAGGAUCGAGUAUGUCUUUCCCUUCAUUGGAGAAUAUGGCCAACAUGGAGACAUUGUGAGUUGAAUGGAUAUAACCCUGAUGGUGUAAAUAUAUUAUUUUUUGUUGAUUCUUUUGCUCAUGAAGUGUCUAUCUUGGUCGUGUUCUGCAGGGUACUAAGAAAUUGCUUGAUUUAUGACGAAAUCCCAUCAUAUAUUUGGAGCAGAACAAGGCAAAUCAAAUUCCUGUAAUUUAUUUCGGAUAAAUCUCUUAUAUGUUGGCAUCUACCAGAAAAUCAUUGUUAACUUUUUGUCACAGACUAGAAGAAAUGCUCUUGGACAUGGAGACCGUGGAUAUUCUAGGGCAGCAGGCCUUGUUAAAAACACUUGUAAAACACAUGCCGAAACAGCCGUUACAGAAAAAAUAGUCCAUUAUGUAUAGGAAGGUGAUAUUCAUUUUAUUUCUCUAAUUUUGCUCGA